rnacentral:rRNA from 1 species
GAGGACUAGUAUGAAAGGUUAAACAAAUUAAUCAUGUUUGAUUAGCUUAAUAGAAAAUUAAAGUUAAGGUAAGAAUUCUUUAAUUGUUUAGGGGACGAUAAGACCCUAGAAGCUUUUAAAAAAUAAAAAUUAUUAUAAGAAAAGAGUGUUUUUUUACUGGGGCGGUUAUAGUAUUUAAUCUAUUGUUAUUUUGGUCGAUCCUUAAUAUAAAGAUAUUACGGUUGAGUUACUCUAGGGGUAACAGUGUAAUGUUUUUGGAUAGGCCAUAUUGAUAAAAAUGUUUGCAACCUCGAUGUUGAAUUAAGAUGUCUAUAUAAAGAAGCAGGUAUAAUAGAGGGUUUGUUCAACCUUUAUAGUCUUACAUGAUCU